UAUACGAGAGCGUACGCGUGCUCGGCUGGGCCGCGUGCUCCACCAAGAAGGAGCGAGAAAGAAAGAGAGAGAGAGAGAAAGAGAGAAAGAGAGAAAGAGAGAGAGAAGAGUGUUGUGUGCGACCAGUUGGCUUAAUAUGUGUAUGUACGUGAGUAUGUGAGAAUAUGUGAGCGAACAGGAACAGGUAUACACUCUAUCCUCUAUCCUCUAUCCUUCUCUCUGUUUCUCCCUGUCGAAAAAGUUCUCUCUGUUUCUCCCUGUCGAAACAGGAAGGGUCAGUGGACGAUCUUCGAAGGGCUCGCGUUUCUGUCCUGUGAUAAAUACGAUAGAAGUCUCACUCUGAACUAAGGGUGAUCUUCUACGAAGGAGGUUGUCGCACCAAGGACAGGAUCGGUGCGCCACGCUAAUAAUGGCGGUACCUGCGUCUCUGUGGUUAAGAAUUUGUCGCGCAGCGAGAAUUCAUGCGGCGAAGAAUCGCUCGACAGAAUCGUAAAUCUUUUGGAAAGAGAAUCGUCGUGGACCUUGCGGGCAACUAUAUUUGUAAAACGAGAAACACGGAUCGUUACGAACUGAGAUGGAUCUUUUGCAUUUGUUGGUACAAUCGAAUCAGUGAUCGGUAGUUGGACUUAACCUUGGACCCUUUCUUUUUUGAUAAAAUAUUACCAUGUAGAAUAAGUGUGAAUACGAUUAUUUGAAAAUCAUUCGUCCAUGAGGAUUCACAUACAUACAUAUAUCGGAAAAGAUACGAAGCAAAGAAGUAAUAUGUUGGGAUUAUAUAAGAAAAAGGAGCACUCUCUCCUUCGUUUUUAUGAGCUUACAAAUAAGGACACUCGAACCGGCCUUACGUCGUGCAUCGUACAUCGUAUUUUCUUCGGAUGUAAACAACGCUGUUCGAAGUACACAGGAGUUGAAAUAAAAAGUGUCCAUUAAAUCAAUAAAACGCUGCCCGGGGUGUGGAAGACGUAUCUGGUUCUUACACUUGCCGCUCCAUUCCGAUGUCACCUGGAGCGAGUUUUACAGUUUAAAUGGAUUGACCGUUUACAAGACACCACGGGGCGUCAUUCGUAGACAAUAAUCCAAACCUUUUUUCUUCCCCAUAAUCACUUGUAUUCGUAAACUCAGUCUAGACAUCAGGUAUUUUUGCGAAUACCUAUUCGAGUACGACCCCAAAAACUGCCACUUUUUCCGAGAAACGAAGCCAAUGACCGUCCUACAAACCAGUGUUAUCUUUUAGGCUUUUCUAGAGAUUGUGACACUGUUAAAAAUACUAAUAUUAUUUUGUUCAUAUAAUUCGGUAUAGAACAAUUUAAGCAAAAUAUUAUUAGGUUAUUACAGUAUUAUAGUAUUAUAACAGAAAUUAAGUACUUUAUUUUACCCCUAUAGUGUCAUUAAUUAUUUUAUUUAUACUUUUCACGAUUUUCACUUUAUUAGGAUAGGAUUAACGCAGACAUUAUACAUAUAUAAACAUCUUGGAAUACUCGAUGUAACAGGAUGCAAUAAAAUUAAAAGUUAAUCGUUUUCAGAUAUCAUAUUCAACGUUUACAUCGGACAUAGUCACUGAUUGUGUGUCGUUGAGAAUACAAUUAGAAUCAAUUUGAGCACGGUAAAAUCGCAGUAAACGCAACGAUACGCAUGAAAAGAUGACGUGGCACAGCUACGUUAAUUUUAAUACUCCCCGCACGAUGCAGGAUAAAUAAAAAGCAGAAAAAUAUGUAAGUAACGUGAAAACGAUACAAGAAGAUAGAAAGAGAGGGUAGAAAUUUUCUUGACCGAUCAUAAUAGCCUUAUUACCUUGAACCUUUGACUUAAGAAUUUAUACUAUAAUUAUAUUCCUGAAUAUCGGUACCCCGACUAUGUCUGACAACGCGCCGUUAAUUAUCGUGAAAUUAACUACCGGUCCGAGUGGCGAGAUGAGCGAUGCAUUGCCGCUGCCGCCAUUCUGAACACGUUAAAUUUUCUACGUUUUACCCUUUGCACCGGGUUCAACGCAGUGUCGGAUUAACAGAUGGAAGCUUCCUUGGGCUCCUGAAGGUUAUUUUCUUCUCGACCUGUCAGAUUCAUUCUUAUUCUUGUUUCGUAUAUUUUUCUCUGGAUCAUCUCAAUAUUCGUAACAACUUCAAAGUUUGUUAUAUUAAAAUUUUUAUUGUCGAAAAAGAUAAUAAUAAAUUUUGAAAUAAUAUGUUACUAUAAUCAAGUUGAUAUUUUUACUUAUCAUUUCAUAUGAUUAGUAUUUACAAAUAUGCAUGAUAAGUUUAUAUUUUUGCCACAAAUAAUAAAAAUCGAUUGACAUUAAUUUGAUUAGAAAAAUGUAAUGAAAUUGUUAUUGUUUGUGUCAUUUUCAAUGUGCAGGGUUACGAAGUAUACUUAGGCCUGUGCUGAUGGUGCAUCCGGCCUUUGAAGUAUAAAAGCAAGCGGCGUUUUAACGCCCGGGGCGCAAGUAGAUUCCUAGAUCAUUGUUAUGCGUGAUCAUAGAGAUUAAAAUCUUCCUAGUCGGCCAGAUAAAAUAUGGUCGAUUCUGACGAGUCGUUACAAUUUCUUUUUUUUUUUUUUUCGUUUUUCAUACCAUAACUGAAGACGCUUGCAUUUGCCCUAUUUGGAAUAUCCGUCAAUUAGUAGUCUUCAAAUUUAAUGAAACUUUACUACAGAUUGUUAUACAGAGCAGAUGAAAAUAACAAUUAUUUGCAAUAAUUUGUCUUAUGGAGUGAAAAUCAUCUAUAAAGUUGUAACUCUUUUUAAUCAUUUCGUGAACAAAUGGAUAUAGAAUAUUAAAUAGAAAAAAUUGCUUGAUUUCUUAUGAUUAUCACAAUGACAAAAUAAACUUUUUCAUAAAUUAUUAUUUCUUUUUCUUAAGAAAAAAUUAUUUGCAUGAUUUUUUGUAACAUAGAACUUUUUGUACGAAUAAAUUUUAUUAUUAAUUUA